ensembl:lncRNA
UGCAAAUUAAAGUUGAUUACAACUAAUUAAGGGCUUUCUUUGUUAUUUGACCUUGUCUGCUUUUUAUGUAAAUAUGUUUCUUUUGGUCUGGCAUAUUUUUAGACUCAGAAAAGUAUAUUAAGACAAGUUACAUUAUGUAUUUUUAAUAUAUUUUUGCGUGGUGUAAAAGGCCCCUUGCUAUUGUUCGAGAGCCCGGCUCCGCACGGGGAUGCUCGGAGCGGCGGUGCGCAGACGCGCGUGGGGCGGCCGCAGGACAGUGCUGUGUGAUGGACCAGCGGUAGAGCUGCGGCAGUGGGCAACAAUCACACUUCCAAGGCCCUCCAAUGGUUUAAUGAAAAAUGAUCCAAAAAAAAGAAUCCGCUGCUGAAGUAUAAACAGCCUUCAUGCCAGAGCGGCCUUUGUUCCACCACUUAUUGAACUGGAUAAGCCUUAGUUUAGAGACUUCAGACGCAGCCAAGUAAUAAAAGAUUUGUCCCAACUUGCCGGGCACUUGGCAGGACUUAAUCAGCGUUGAGCUCAGGAUAAAAAGCUGUGACACGGCAGCACAGCCGUCUCGGGUGCAUCAGCCUCCGGGUGGACCUCGUGCCUGCCAGCAGCGGAGAAGGCUGACAUUGGGUGAAAUGAAAAAAAAAACUUCCAAAGAAAACUUGGCCGCCUGGUAUCUGAGGCAUCCAAACCCAAGGAGGAAGCAGGAUCUUCCCACGUAACCCCCACGGCCAGCCAAAACCCCAUCAUCUUUAAAGGCCAGAUCCUGAGUACCUGACGCAAAGCGCUGGAUGGGAAGUCACACACUGCCGGUGACGGGCAUGACUUAUUCAGCAACUAUUUGAGAACGUAAUUUGAAGAACUGAAGAAGUUGGUGAUUUGUUCCCUCACAAUAGGACCACAAGGUGCAAUUCAGCGAGUGACUUAUUACAAUGAAUUUCCGAGGGCUGUGACAGGGACAUUUUGCUCAAUGCUCUGAUGCUGGCGGGAGCUGAAAAAUGGAAAUCAGAACAGGCAAAACACGUCCCUACCACAUGGGGCGAAGUCAGAUCCCAGUCACUCUCCCUUCUGGAUGAUACACUGGUGCUGAAGGCAGGAACGGAGCGACUGCAGUGAGAGCAUGGAGGGGACACAGUGCCCUGCCAACACGCCUACUUAACGGGUGGCAUCAAGGAAAUGCCCCAGAAAGCUGCUGUUUGAGCUGCUUGUUACUGAGGGAGCUAGGGCAGCAUGGCUGUCUCUUAAAUGCUUAGUUUGGUGAGAUGGAUCUUAUCUUGGAAAAGAUGAUGGCAGAGACUUGCUUCAUUUUGUGUCCCUUCUCUUUGUGCUUCUGAGUUAGGUAAGUUGGACAUCUCGCUUGCGAGAGGGGUCUUUGAGCCUCUCAUGUCUGCUGUUCAUAGUCAGCCUUAAAUGCCUGCCCUUUUUCAGCAGGCAUCUUCAGGGGGUGACAACUCCGGAAGAGCAGUUACAUAUCUGUUGUGUCUGCUGCUCUGUAGUGGCUGCCACCAUGGAUGUCCCCAGGCUAGUUAUCCUGAGCUGGUGGGAUUUGCACACUCAGAGUGGCUUUGGUUGGCUCAUUUUAGUUUUGUCUUCUGUGCAUCCCUUGUUCUUCUGGCACCAGGUCUUAGCCCAAAAGAUAUUACUGUUUUCAGACCUUUUGUUAAAUAUAAUGGCAACCAGUAGCGGUAUGUUUUUCUUUGAUGUCAUAAUAAUGCCAAAAUAGAAGUAGGUUUUGGUUCUACCCCUUGUUUGCAGUAUGGCCUUAUGGUGGGACCCUGAGUGGCCUGGGGCUUUGAGGUGGAUCUGCCCGUACAUUCUCCUUUUGUAUCAGUGCAUUCAUUUUUGUUUGUUUGCUUCUUUUUGCACAUGAUGCAUGACGUGAGCUCUGAUUUUGAUUACGCCAUUUCAAAACCCGUGGACUCAUUUCCUUGAGGAUGCCCAGAGUUCACCGUUCCCAAGAAUCCCUCUUCUCACCUCAUCUUUCAGGGUAUGUCUGCUGAAAGUGGUCUUUUUUCUUGGCCUCUGUGACUCCUGUGCAGUUUUCUUGAUGACAUCCACUUGCUCAGACCUCUUUGGCUUCUGCUGAUGACUGGGAAGUGUGUGUGUAAUCACAGUAAAUGAGUGCUCUGCUUUGUUUCUGUGUUACUGCGUGGCACAAGCCUUCUUCAAGUUGCUGCAGAGGUUCUUCCCUGUGUGCCACUUGGACUGGAUGGUAGAUUUACAUUCGGUCAUUUACACUACAGCAUUGGAUGAACAUCUGGGGAAGCCUUGCAAUGUACAACAGGAACAUUUCUUUUAAUAAUGACAAUCCCCCUCCAAAAAAAAAAAAAAAAAAAAAAAAAAAAAAAAAAAAGGAAAAAAGAAAUCAAACAAAGAAAAGAAGUGGAUUUGCACAUUAUUCAUCCUGAUAAAUAUAACUGUGAAAUGGCUUUUUGACUUUGGACACAGUUGGAGCUUUAUAAUAGGCUGUCAGUGAAGUAACACCUGUGAUUCUAAUGCCAGGGUCCAUUUUUCUGAUUUUAGCUAUAAAUUCCAUUUCACAAUGCUAGGGGGAUAGACCUGAGUCUGUAGUCGGGGCUGAGAGCUUAAUUCCUUGUCAUCCUCCCUUCCAGCACAGCCUCGGGUUUCUCCAGGCCGUCUCAGCUCUAGAAAGUGCUUUGAUUUCUUGCUUUUUUAUGGGUGAGGGUUUCAAAUCUCUCCACAUUUUCUUAACUGUGCUUAUGAUAACAGACUUGUGUGCCUAUUAGACAUAGAAACCAUUUUGUAGCUUAACUUUUUCAAAGAAAACAACUGUCAAAUUAUUCUUCUGGGGAAAAGAGGGAAAAAAGGAUCAAGUGGGUGGAGUGUAAGUAACAAUUACUGUAGGCUGAUAAUGUUUAAAGAUUCAUACAAGGAUGUAUUUCACGGGCCAUACGUGUACGUAACAAAUUCGCCUACUCUGUAAUCCUACUUUUUAUUGACAACACAACAAUCAGCUCUUUCCAGAAUGGUGAACUUCAGAACAUUUUUCUCCUGAAAAUGCUGCAUUUGAGCUCAGAUAACUAACGUGAAGUGCUAUUAUUGGAGAAAGCUGGCAAGCCUGCCUAGCAGGGAAGUAAGGAGGAGAAUCCGUGCGCAGGGAAAGAACAAUACAUUUUCUCUUCAUGUGAAGUGAUUUUUUCAGCCCAGGACUAUAGUGACAGACUAAUAAUAGAACACAGUUAUGAAAUGUAUCACCUGUUUCCAGAAGAUUCUGGGAAAGUUACCGUCUAACUUCAGAAGAUGCCUGUUGUCCUGACGGAUCCCAGCCCCUGGUUACUUACCCACCAUGACUCUCUUUUAAACUUUAUAAGCUCAAAAGAAUGAAAUACAAACUUUGGGCAAAGUCAGAAGACCUGUCAGCAUGUCCUCCCUCCCCUAGUCCUACAUCCUAUGGAGAACUCUCACCUUGCCCAGCAUUACAUAUCAUGAACUGUGAUGCGGGAGUGGCUCAGGCCCCAGCCCACGCUCUUCUCUGUGCGUUUGUGAUAGCAGCAGCAACACGUUGGUAUCCACAUCCACGCAUGAGCUCUCUGCUGGGAGGAUGCAGGCCGGACAAAGGCUGCAUGCACAGAGCGAGGUCGGCACAGGCCUCCCAUCCUGGGAAUGCAAUCCAGGUAAGAGAUGCUGGACAUCCUCCGCUGCCUCCCAGCUGGGCACCCGUGUGCUGCUGAGGGACACGGGCACCCCGGGGCAGCUGUAAUUUCACCCGGAGCUGCUCAGGACUGGCGCUAAGAGCCGUGUGAGUGGCGUCCUGCUGUAAUCCUUUCAGCCUCUUGCACUGUGCCGAUUUCUGCAAGGGAGGGAGCUGGCUCACUGGUUCUGCAUCUUCUAGAAGAAAAAACAGAGAGAAAAAAAUCUUUUUUUUUUUUUUUUUAAAUCCUUGCUUUUCUACCUCUUCGAUGCCUACUGUAUUGUGUAGCAGUGCAUUUUGCAUUUUCUCUUUUUC